AGCCCUGAGGUGUUUUUCAUAUCAGAUUGCAAAUCUGAAGAAGCAGGAUAAGACCUGCCGGGGCUU
rnacentral:tRNA from 1 species